GGCAGAAACACAGGCCCCACAAGAUAUUGAGACCGAAGAACAAACGCAUCAUGAAGAAAUGCAGUACUCUUGUAACGCGCUGAUUUACAUGGCGCUAAAAAAUAGUGUUCAUGGGAAAUUAUUGUUGAACGAAAUAUACAAUUAUAUUUCCAAAAACCAUCCAUCCCAUGAACAAAAUCAUUCCAACUGGAAGAACAGUAUUCGCCAUUGUUUGAGCACGUCAAACUAUUUUUGUCAAGAACAUCGUCCAGCUUACGAGCCUGGUAAGGGUAACUACUGGAAAUUGAGCCCAGAAGGAAAUUGUAUGGUGUUGGGAGGGAACACUGGCAGAUUAAGAAGAGGAAAUAACCUUGCAUCUGCAGCUAUGCCAGUGAUGCACCAUAAUAGUCCAAUAAUGUGUCACUGUGUGAACACUGCACCAGCUUUCCCAAAUUGUCCUCCAACUUAUAUGCCAGUUGUUUAUCAUCCCAUUCCCCAGCAUUUCUAUGGAUCGUAUUAGUUUCAAAAUUGGUGAACUUGUUCCAGUCAGAUAAACCAUGUAUUAUAACUUGUAAAUAUUGUAAAUUGUGUUGUAUGUGUCCAAGUAUAAAUAUUCAAUAAGAACUUUCGAAAAAUACUGUAAAAAGUACAACAGACAAUCAAGUGUAGAAAUUGUGAAUUAUUGUAUAUACAUUAAAUAUAAUAUGAUUCAGACCAGUGGCAAAUAAUACAAGAACUAUAAUUGCUAGAUUAUUCACUAAGGAAAUUUGGAAAUAUUACCCCCGGUUAUUAAACGAUCUAAAUCACUCAAGGACUAUAAUUAGUAGAUUUUUCACUAAGGAAAUUUAGAAAUAUUACCCCAGGUUUUUAAAUGAUCUAAAUCACUUGAGAAAUAAAGAAAUGAUGGCUCAUAUUGGAUAAAGAAGCUAGGAAAAAAAAGUAAAUCGAAAAUGUUGGCUCCUUUGGAAAGUUAUUACUCAGUCUGAUAUAUCAAUUAAUUUGUCAACGUUUCCCCUGCAAACCAAACAAUAAUCAACACUCCUACAGGGUAUUCUGCCAUCCAAAUUAAGCACAUAUCACUUGUAGUUACAUUACCUAAACCUAAGUAUAAUAUCAUUCAGACAGUAACAAAUCAUACAAGGACUAUAAUUAGUAGAUUUUUCACUAAGUAAAUUUAGGAAUAUUACCCCAGGUUAUUAAAUGAUCUGAAUCACUUGAGAAAUAAAGAAAUGAUGGCUCUUUUGGAAAGUUAUUACUCAGCCUGAUAUAUUAAUUAAUUUGUCAAAGUUUCCCCUGCAAACCAAACAAUAAUCAGAACUCCUACAGGGUAUUCGGCCAUCCAAAUUUAGCACAUAUCACUUGUAGAUACAUUACCUAAACCUAAGUAUAAUAUCAUUCAGACAGUAACAAAUCAUAAAAGGACUAUAAUUAGUAGAUUUUUCACUAAGGAAAUUUAGAAAUAUUACCCCAGGUUAUUAAAUGAUCUAAAUCACUUGAGAAAUAAAGAAAUGAUGGCUCAUAUUGGAUAAAGAAGAUAGGAAAAAAA